CACGUAGGGCGCAAGCGUUGUCCGGAAUUAUUGGGCGUAAAGAGCUCGUAGGCGGUCCGUCACGUCCGCUGUGAAAACCCAGGGCUCAACCCUGGGCUUGCAGUGGAUACGGGCAGACUAGAGGUAGGUAGGGGAGAAUGGAAUUCCCGGUGUAGCGGUGAAAUGCGCAGAUAUCGGGAGGAACACCGGUGGCGAAGGCGGUUCUCUGGGCCUUACCUGACGCUGAGGCGCGAAGGUCAGGGGAGCAAACGGG
rnacentral:rRNA from 1 species